GACGAACGCUGGCGGCGUGCUUAACACAUGCAAGUCGAACGGAAAGGCCCUGCUUUUGUGGGGUGCUCGAGUGGCGAACGGGUGAGUAACACGUGAGUAACCUUCCCUUGACUUUGUGAUAACUUCAGGAAACUGGGGCUAAUACCGGAUAGGAGCUCCUGCUGCAUGGUGGGGUUUGGAAAGUUUAGGCGGUGGUGGAUGGAGUCCGGGGUAAUUAGCUUGUGGGUGGGGGAGUGGCUUACCCAGCGUUCGACGGAUGGGCGGCAUGGGAGGGGGAACGGGGUCCUUGGGACUAAGAUAGGGAGCAGACUGCUACGGGAGGCAGCAGGGGGGAGUAUUGCACAAUGGGCGGAAGCCUGAGGAAGAAACGCCGCGUGCGGGAUGAAGGCCUUCGGGUUGUAAACCGCUUUAACCUGUGACGAAGCGUGAGUGACGGUAAUGGGUAAAGAAGCACCGGCUAACUACGUG
rnacentral:rRNA from 1 species